GACUGUCCCCUUGGGGCAGUCCAGAGCCCCUGUGGGGCCCCUCCUGUGCAAAGGAGACUAUUCCUGCUCACUGGCAGCAGCUUUCAGCCUUUCCAGUCUCUCACACAUCUGCCAUCCUUUGAUACCCAGAGCUCCUCCACUGCUCCAGCAUUCCUCCUGCAGCUCAGAUUUUGAUUCUGAAGCAGUACCUGAAGGAAGUGAUUUGGCCUUUCAGGAGCUCUUUGGGAGCUGCUGGCAUUCAGACCAUACAUUGUGAAUCCUAUGGCUGUUAUGGAAACUUUUGUCAGCAAGAUAAAGUUUAGUGAUAAGGCAGUAAGCACAUUUAUGGCAUGAGCUCUAGGCUCCUUCAUUUGAUGAGCAUCAGGUGAUCUUGAUUUUCUUCCACCUGAACCUCAUCUGCUGAUUUGGAUCACCAGGUAAUCAAGUGCUAAUUUAAUCAGCUGUGUGGCCUGGGCAAUUAUAGUCUGGAAGGUUCUGUUGACCUGGAUGGUUCUCCAGACCUGGAUGUUUUAUUUGUCCUGAAGAGCUCUCUUCUGUGUUUAAAAGGACCAUCCCAUCUCUGCCUAGGUGCAGCCAUUUAUCUAAAAAGUGCCCUGGGAAUCAGCCAUUGCCUGCUGUGGUGGCUACAGCCUCACUGCAUAGACAGUUACCGGAACGUUCAAAUUGCCAUGGUUUCCACAGAAAAUGUGUUCAGACUCCCUGAAAAGGUCAGUGUCCCAGUGCUGUAGAGAAAGCCACCCUGGAUUUUUCCUGUUGACCAAAUUUAUUGCCUUGGCUUGAUUUUGCAAACCAGAGUUGUAUGUCUGCAGCAUCCUUCACAUGACAUUCCAGCGCAGUGAUACACCCAAAUUCCUUACGAAAUGAGCAAGAAGAGGAACUCCUAAGUCAGCCUGCCCUACUGGAGGACAUUGGCCAUCAUUCCUGACAGUUCUCAGCCUGCUUUUUGCAGUCCUGGUGCCAGAAAGAGAAAUGGCAGCUUGCUGAAUAUUUUCAACCCUAUAGCAAUGGCAUUGACUGUCUGGGAGGAGUUUCUUACCAGCAAGGAACAGCUGCCUGAUCCAGCAACCUCUGCUCUCCAGGACAGUUUUGUUAUCACGUGCAUGGUUGAACCUGCCUUACCAGAGAGGCAACAAAACAAUUCUCUUUCAGAGGCAAUGGGCAUUACGUGCAGCUGAAGUGUAGCUCACUGCUCUGGCCAUUCUGGCCUAGGACUCCUGUAAGGUAUUUUAUCCUGCCUGUGUUAGAGCCCCUGACAUUACCAAGAAUAUUCUGGAAGUGGCACAGACAGAAUAGUCCUGAGCUCCAGAUAACAGAUCCAUGGGAAGAGUGUCAAGACAUAAAGGGAUGUGUUCUGUGCUGGAGGUGUGUGCACUAAUCAAUAUCCUUUCACUGCACAUGAUGUUCCUCAGAAGUCUAAAUGCUAAUGGUGCCAUUUGGCAAGAUCUUUCACCUGCUCUUGGCUGACCUGACUUUGCACAGGAUUACCUGAGGAGUAAAUUAAAAUCUUUUUCUGCUACAAAUGGAGCAGAACAAUAACUAGGUGAUUCUCUUUCUGGAAAACAGCAGAAGAGCUAGAAGUCCACGUAAGGAGUCCCUUCUUGAGAGCACACAGUGUGCUCUUUCUCAUGAAUAUAUCAGCAGAGAGUUGUGCCUCUCUUUCUGAACCCGGUGCAAUCCAGGCAGCAGAUGUGCUGCUCUCCCCACGUUGCUCUGCCCAAGCAGUGCUCACCGAGCUGUGCAGAUGGAUUGAUAUUUCCAAGAUACCAGCUCCAGAGGCAUCCAGCCCCUUCCCUGUCAGCUCUGCCAUGACAGAGGAGCAGCCCGUUAUGGUGGUGAUUUGAAUCACUCCAGUAUUCCUUCCCAGGAGCUGGAAUGGGACUCAAGCAGCUCUCAGUGAGCAGCAGCUCCUCCCUGGGCUCGUCUCAAAUCACUGACUGCAGAGUGAAGUGUUCCUGCAGUGGGUGAUCAGGAGUUGAGUCAUUUAAAAACAACAGUUCUGGUAGUAUUAGUCACAAUUUGUAUUAUAAUGGUUUGCAGAUGAAGGUUCAUCACUGUGCAAUGUAUUAUACAGACAGUCUGAGAAAUCACAGUCAUCUUCCACUUUGGAAGAUGGGUUUCUGAGAGGAUCACUCAUUCCCAGGAACCUGGGAUUUCUCAGGAAUCAUGCAAUGUUUCACUCCAUUUAUAAUGUUACCCCCCUCGCCCCUUAAUCCCAGCUGCAAAAAUCUUUAUUAUAGGAAGUAGCAAUUUAGUUUUGCUUUUUUCCAGAAGGACAUGAUGUCUGCUUUCCUUGGUACUGUGGUUCCCUGAUCAGCCAGCCAGUUUGUUACAGGGCUGUGUGAUGAAGGAUUUUUUCCAAGGAAAAUGUAAACACAAACCAGGCCAGAACAUUUUUUUUAAUCUUAAUUUGCCUUACAAAUAGUCAGCUCUCAUCACAGAAUGUGAAGAGUUUCAUCUAAAAAGAAUUUAAUUGAACAGAUUUUUAGGAACAUCUAAUAUAUACCAUGAGAAAGACAAAUUUCAUGAAAUGUUUUGUUUUAUCAGAAACUCAUUUUUCCCUGACAAAUGGAUUUCAGGGGAAAUUUUCCAGAAGGCCCAGCUCAUUGGUCUGUGUGACUGGUGGAAAAAUGAGAAGCCUGAACCAGGAGAAACAGAGACACAAAAAAUGUUGUCAGAGAAGUUAAAGUCUGAUGGCAGCUGGCAAGGAACCUGGCUGGAAUUCCUAGAUCUCUUAUUUCCCAAGCAAAGCUUACACAGGCACUUACUGUUCUACAACAGUCAUGUCUGGUUUAAGCAUUGCUGGAGUCCAGCACAUUUCUACAGUCUGUUUUAACAUCUCACUCAUAAUUUUAACUGGAGGAGCAACACCUAUGAUCUUUGGUUUCUAGGAAGCAUAAACCACAGUCAGGAGUUAAGCUGGGUAAUUCUGUUAAGGCAAUUCAUUUAACCUGUUUAAAAAAACAAACAAAAAAAACCCCAACAAAACCAACUUUCUGUUAAUCCUUUUGACUAAUCUUUGGCUCCUAAGUGAAGAAAGGCAUACCUUGCCAUUUUAGACUGUUUUUACAAGUAUCUGUGUUUUGAGCCCUUUCAUCCUGCAUAUCUGCUUACCACUUAGUUUAUUUUGCAAGAGGACACCUGCUAUUUGUUUUCAUCUUGGGAGACUCCUGCAGCACUGCUGUGCCACUGGGAACUAGACUCCAGUCUAUUUAAUGAAAUGAAUCUAAAAACAACGAGAGCCUCUCUUGAUGUAGCAGGCAUGUGAUCAUAGAUUUGGAGAAUGCUCUUGAUAUCUGUUUGAUCACAUAUGGGUUCUUUACACACGCUUAAAAAGUAAAAGCAGCAGCAGAGCUGCUCAAAGAAGAACCCCAUAAUGGCUCAGACUUAAUGAGAUCUUAUUUUCCUUGUAUAAAGAAAUCAUCCCACCUCCUUUUAUUUCCCCAGGAGCACUUGGGGGGGUGUAACAGAGGUGGUUGUUGCCUGUUGCCAUGAAACACAGCUGUUUGCAAGGCAGAUAACUCUCUGAUGAAGGGAUUUAAUUUUCUUGUAUGUGGAGGGGUGAAGCACACUCCUGCACGUCUCAGAAAGGGCUCUGUGUGUGUAUCUGUGUGUGUGUAGGAGGCUGCCUCAGUCAUGUUAAAUUCCUAUUAGGUAGCACUUCCAGAAAUGAUUGGAAAGUAGAGCUGUUGUUGAUGCAAAAGGUCACAGACAUUAAUAGCCUGCAGAACAAUUCCAGGGUGCAGAAUUAUUCACAGCUGCCAAAACACAAAGAAAAGAAUAAAAAAGAACAAGGGAAAGAAAAGGUUGUCUUACAAGUAUUUUGUGACAGUGCUCCUGAAAGACAUAAGGAGGGACAAGUCCUAGAGUAUCUAUGUACAUGGAAGAGGACCUCUGUUUCCUGAGAGAUCAUCUGUCCCUGCUGCUUAUACCCUGUUUGAUGUCAUGAUCUUGGUUGCUGUGGAAAUGAUUAAGCUGUCAUCAACAGAUUCAGAUGGGAAAUCAGCUCUGGGAGAAGAUGAAACAACAUUCUUUCUUUUAUGCAAAUGUGUGCAGUUAAGAAUGGCAAAGAAACAAACAAGCAAAACAUACAGGCAAACACCCUUUUGCCUCCCAAUUCACUAUUCAGACUGAGCACAUUUUUCCCAGGGGAUGUCAGAUGGUGCCUAAAAAAUGUCACCCACUGCUGUGGAGGUGGCGGAAGGGAGCUAGAGGCCAGUGAAUGUCUUCUUGUCACUUUGGCUUGAAAGGGUAUAAAUUCCAAAAUAGGUGCCAGAACCCCUUUUGUCCUGAGCUUUAAGCAGCUCAUGACAGGUGCAAUAAGUUGCACAGGUAGGAGCAGCACACUUUUUUGUGAGUGGAAACAAAUAUGCAGCAGGCAGAGCACGUGAACUGUGAUUUUUGCCCUUAAAUAUCUUCCCAGGGCUUUGUUAAGCACAGCAAGUCACAGUGGGAAAAGUGAUGCUCCCAGACAUUAGAUGAGGUUAUGUUGACUCAGGAAAAUGAAAUACCUCCCAGAAGUAUCUUUUGAUUUAAUUAAUAUGUGUUCAGAGUAGAUGGCUAUUCUCCAAAGAGGACUGGUGUUAACCACCACCUGAUUGCAUGGGGGAUUGCACAGGGGAUUUUUCAGUGGUUGGUGCAUAUAAAUGGGGAGGGGGUCACGUAGGUUGUGUAUUUGUAGUUGUAAUUAGAAAGACAAAGAGUGUGGGAAGGGAAAGUCAACAGUGAUGCUGAUAAUUAGUUUAAUACUGCUGUGCACAUCUGCUGUGCUCUUUGAAGCAAUGCCCCUGUCUCAGUGGUGGGUGUAAAUACCUUACAGUAAGUCAAACCCAGCUACAAUGACUUUCCAAUCUUGGCAGCACUAAUGUCUCAAACAUGGUCAGGAAAGGGUCAGAAAAUGCUCAAGAGAAACAAACUGGAGUUGUUUUCUCAUUGAAGAACUCUCCUACAAUUUUGGGGCUUUUUUUUCCAGGAUAUCCUGGAUAUAAAGCUCAAAGCCUUCAGCUCCUCUUUACCUGGAGCUACAAUGAUACAAAGCAUAAGGAAAAGUUGAUAUGUGACUAAGAUACUUUUAUUCAGGCAUCGAUAGAACAUUAUAAGGCAUCAGGGUUAUAUAGAUUAAGGCUGAUACCAGGAAAAUCUUUCUUGAACUUUUAAAAUAAUUCCUGAUGCUUCCAGAAAUGUGUUGAGGGAGUUUCCACUCAAGAAAUACGUGCUGUUUCUUUGUUGUUUCUGAUGACAACUUCUCAGAGAGGGCAUGGCCUGAGACAUGUUUUGAAUCAGGGACUUCACUCUCUUUGGAUGAUGCUGUGAAACAGAGAAUUCAUUUUAGCUGUCAUUUUUGUUUCCUGUCUCCUGAUGCUAUUUGGAGGCAUUAUGGGGGUAUUCGGGUCCCAUCUACAUAUUUGAAUAUUUUCUAGAAACACCUCCACAGCAACUUUUUAAAGUGGCAAAAUGUUGUAUUGUAGGGUAAAAACACGCACAUGAACAAAGGGGAGGGGGUGAAACUAAAUAUCACACUAGGUUAUUGUUUGAAUUUCUAAUCCAUAGAACACAGCAUUGUAAUAUUUAAACUUCUUAUUAAAUAGCAAGGCAAAGCAAACUUUCCUUUUCUCUGUUUUUGACAGGGGCUGAAAAUAGAUUUAAUCUUGGAUCUACUAAAAUGUGCAAAGCUCUGCCUUCUUGCUUUAUUCUAUACAGUCUUUUCUCUUGUUUUACAGCUGUGCAAAUCCACUGACUUCAGGGGAAUUCUUAUUUACAGCAAGUGCAAGAGAGGCAGCAAAGUCAUUUGCAGUGAGAAAGCCAAAGAGUACAAGCAGCAGCAGAGAAGAGUUGAUUACACCAAUCCCCCUCAAACUAUGGAGCUAACAAGACAGUUGUGAAGCAAGAGAAGUUACUCUGGGUUGCUAUUUGGACACUUGAGUCUUGAAGGUGCAGGAAGACUCCUUCAAAGUUGAGAGCUGUUAAACCUUUCUCCUCCUGGAAAACUCCAUCUAUUCAUCUGAAGAAGCCCUUUCAAAAGAAGCAGGAUGCACUUCAAAGCAGACUCUCUUAUCUGGAGGAGAGGGGCUUACACAAAGGUUACAUUUCAGACUUAAAUGCAGGACAAGGAACAAUUGCACUAAGACCUUCUCAGUGCAGAUAUUCGGAGCUGUUCCCUCACUUUGUGUUUGGAAUUUCCAUUAAAUUAGAUCGAUACUUGGCUUCUUUCCUGAUGUCCUAUCCCACUCUGCUGAAGAUAUUUUCUGUGAUCCAUAAUGAGCCCUGCUGCUAUUCCAGUAUAAUCACUGCUGAAUAUUAGCCAGGUAACAGACAAAGCAAGGAGCUAAACUGAGAUGAGAGAAAUCUGGGCUUGAAGAGUUUCUCCCAAGUUCUUAUGACUUCAUAUCUUGUAUUGAAGACUGUAGAUCUGUGUGGUGGGGAAGGAGUUACUGGGGUUUCUUAAAAAACCCCAAACCAUGGUAAUUCAGUAGCUGAAUUUAAUUUUCAUUUCAUUUUGAUGCAGAUGCAAAAUGGUACAUGCUGAGAAGUUAGUGGGGAGGGAGGAGGGAGACAUUGUGAAAGAGCAGUAAAUAGCUCUGGGUGAGGUAUUUCAUGCAGGGUAGGGAAGAGACAGCUCUCCCUUAGGGGGCUUGUGCACCUUGUUCCUCUUGAUACCAUGACAUGUGUGAAGUUGGGUUUUUUUUUAUUCCUUCAUGACAUUUCUUUCCAUUGUUUCUUCAUAUUUACACUGAAAAGCAGGUGCUGUAGACUUGCACAACUUUUGUCUUUUUAUGUACACCCUUUUCUUAUUUGGGAAGGAAAUGGUCAGCCAAAGCCAACCAUUGUAUAUAUUUCGUGUAAGUUCCAUUCCCUAAAGUGUAAAUUAGAAGGUUUUAAAGCAAACUUAUCUUGUUUGUUAUAUUUAUAACAAUCAUUUAAUAAGUGGCUUGCUUAGAUGUAUUAAAGAAUUUAUUAGUAAUUAAA